AUGCAGCCCACCACAGACGCCAUAGCAGAUGACCCAGCAGGGACUCAGGCGGGCUGCCUCCCGUGUGUCCUGUCCUCAUGGCCCUUGGUGGCCUUGACCACUCCUGUGCCCUGUGACCUCAUCCCCACGCACACGUUCCGUCACCUCCUAGGAGACGGUGCCAAAUGCUGGGCUCUGCCCUCUCUUCCUCGCUGGGCUCCAGUCUGUGAAACCAGAGAAGAUAAAGGAGGCAAACUGAGGCGUUUCCCCAUUGUGAAGCAGGCACUACGUUCUGGAGAAGAGAGGAACCAAAACAGGAACUUACAGGCGUGGCUGUCGCCAGUAUCAUCAGGACGGCAAAGACUGGAUUUUCAGGGACACCCAAGUGUGCAAGUCCUUCGCGGGGCUGGGUUUCCAGAUGCUCCUCUGAGUCUCUCUAUGACACGGGAGACGCGGUCACAGAUCCGCUGCCAUGUAUGCGCCAGUAGACACCGCUUGCAGUAUCUGUUGCCUUUAGUGCUAACAUGACACACUCGCUUGCAGACUAAUAAAAUCGGAGGAGUUAUUAUUCCUGUAAAGCGCAAACAUAUCUGAGGUACCCACUUAAUGACACUAUAGAACAAAUUGCUUUCAAUGACACUUUUUAAUUGGACUGAACUAACAGCUUCGUAAUAUGUUGCAAUAAGAAUAUUAGGAUGAUUAACAGAUCUGAAAACUCUCGCGAAAUUAAAUGAUUAAACAUAAUGCUGACUCAAUGCACAGGCCACGUGGAUUAAUCAGUUGAGGGCCUCGGCAAAGGAUGGCGUAGCUAAACACGUAGCACGAUGCGCACACGCCUGGCUUCCCGCCCCUGAGUGCCGUCCACCGCUCCCUCCCCGCUGCUCCUCGGUGAGUGGCUCCUUCUGCCAAUCCAGGAAUGUGCUGGGGCUUUAGCAAGUGUGAGUGUUACGUGCGCUGCUGCUUCUAGGAAAACACAUAUUCCUGUGGCUAUGAGCUUCCCAAAAUGGCCAGGCAGUUCUUUCCCGGUCCUUGCUUUGAACUGAAAUGGAAGUUUAAAGGGCAGAAAUCAUAAUUCUGGCUUUCAGUCUGAUUAUAGAACUGACCUUCCUGCCUUCCUUUCCUUUCCGAUGUCUGUUUCCCCAUUAACCCCCUCAUCUCGGCGUGUCCGUGUUCCCUGGGUAAUCCAGCAGACUGUUUUUGCAGUGCUGGGGACGGAACCGUGGGCUUCACACGUGCUCGUCUUACGCUCGACCACUGAAUGCGCUCAGCCCAAGGUCUGGAUUCUAAAGCAGCGUGGCUAAAGCUAGCAGCUCCAGGGAGAAAGGGAGGUGUGUCCUGUGUCCCUCGUUCUCUCCUCCACCACUGGCCACCGAGCCAGCUCCCUGCACGCGUCCCUUGGGUGACCUAGAAAACUGAGUGACGUCCUCACAAAGCUGCCCACACCUGCGCAGGGACCGCACGUGCCCUUUCCUUUCUGAUCAUAUACAUCUUUCGUGCCCAAGUUGCAGUCAUAAUUAGUUGCAUAAAAAUUCAAAAUACGAUUCAGGCUGUUAUGAGAAAAC
rnacentral:lncRNA from 1 species